AUGCUGAACGGGAGCCGCGAGGGUUUGUUUGAACUGGGCAGGCAGCUCCAGCAGGAAGGAGACUCACAAGCUGCUCUGCACUGCUUUUUGAGCUGCCUGCUGGGACUCACACAUGUGCAGAGCUUCCACUCGCUUCCCAACUGCCUGCAUCAGAUCGCUGAACUCUACAUUGAUGACAAGAACUAUGGGAAAGCUCUACAGUUUAUUCAGGCGGAGAAGAUGUUUUACGAAGUGGCAUUGAUCGAGCUCACCUCACUGCAGGCCAGCACAGGGUCUCAGGAAGACGGACCAUUGGGAACGUCAGGAUGUCUGUCUCAAGAGGAGUUAUCAGAACAGGCUUCACAGGCCCAGGAUCUUGAGAGACUGGCUCAGCUCUGCAUCAUGAGCAAAAGACCUCACCUUGCUUUAGAAUACAGUGGCAAGGCCACUAAAAUCCACCAGAGGGCUUUUGGUAACGAUCACCCUAUCACAGCCCGGAGUCUGGAGCUGCUAGCCACUGUCUAUGCAGAGAUCGGCAAAACAGAAUAUACAAAUUCAUUGGGAGAGUGUGUGUCGACUCUUUCCAAAAGGUUCUCAGCCACCGAGUCAUUCAGUGACGCUCUGAGUAGCAUCUCUCAUAGCCAUAAGGACAGACACUCUGAGCUGCGACACAGAAAAGAGCCAUACAUACAACAGGAAACUCCUAAAACAAAGGUCAUAAAUGAAAAACUGCCCACCUCUAUUCUGAAAAGGUCCAACAUGAGCAAUGUGGAGUCAGACUCAUUGCGCAAGCGAAAAACCGAGAGGCGGGUUCGCUUCAGAGAGCCGGAGAUCACUGUUCAUGUCUAUGACACUCCCCAGAGCCGUUUGCACCUGACCCUGCUCACCUGCCUGUUCCUGCUUCUGUCUGCGCUGGGUCUGGCACUGUACUGCACGGACCGCCGGAGACCCCAGCGUGCCUGCGAAGAGCUGCAGACGGCACUGGCUGUGUACCUGCUUCAGUUCAAACAGAUCGUCUUUGUUUUUUAUUGCUUUAUUUUCACUGUUAUAAUCAGACUGGCCACCAGUCAAAUUUUCUGAGGAUGUUCAACAUCCACCUCUUUUAUUUUGUGGCUGAUUAAAGGCCAUGUGCUUUACACACCAUUAAGGUAUGGUGUGCCUUUUUGCCCUUUAUGGUGGCAUAGCUAAUGCCACAUCCUCAUUAUACUGAGCCGUGUAUAUUUAGAUCUCUGUAUGUAGCUGUUUUUCCUCGUAUAGCGGUUCUGGGUGAUAUGUUUUAAAGGAAUAGUUCACCAAAAAUGAAAAUUUGCUGAACAUUUACUCAUCCUCAGGCCAUCCGAUAUGUAGAUGAGUUUGUUUCUAUAUCGGAACAGAUUUGUAUAAAUUUAGCAUUACAUCACUUGCUCACCAGUGGAUCCUCUGUAGUAAAUGGGUGCCAUCAGAUUAUCAGACCCAAAAUCAGUCUGGCUUUACAGAUUGUGCACACUGUAUUCUCUAUGAACCAAUGUAUCACAUUUUAAUGUCCAAAACUACUUCAUUUAUUCAAUGCUUUUAUUUUUAAUGCACUUGCUGUACAUAAUGUGGUUGAAUGUAUCUGUGGAAUGCAAGACAAUGCUAUUUAUUUAACUAAUAAUCAAAUAGGUUUAGAAUACAAAUAUGCGUUUUAUGCAUUAAUCAAACAUGUAAAUGACACUAAUUAUUGUAUAGAAUGUAUUUCAAUGUAAAUGAGAAAAGAGAACUGGCACAAUUGACGACACCUUUAGCAUUUAUCUACUUUACAAGAAACGAAGGGCAAAGCUGUUCUGUUAAGCACAAACAUUUCCAUCUGCCAUUAAUUCUCUCAGAAAGAGAUAUAAGACUGUUGAAGGAUGAAUUGGCCAUAUAUUGUGUCAUGCACUGCUAGAUUCAACUGGCAAAUGAAAGAAUGCCAUUUUAAAUAGCUGAACGCUUUAUGAUACUCGCACUAUUUAAGUUUCUAUUUUACAUAAACCUUUACCAGCAUCUUGGCUUAAGCCUAAUAAUGGUGCAUUCAUUUGUUUUACUAUGUUUUAUAAGAAGUUUCUUUUUCUAUCUUUUUUUA
ensembl:lncRNA